UGGGGAAUCUUGCGCAAUGGGGGAAACCCUGACGCAGCAACGCCGCGUGGGUGAUGAAGGUCUUCGGAUCGUAAAGCCCUGUCGGAGGGGAAGAUGCUUGUCGUUGCUAAUAGUAGCGAUAGGUGACGGUACCCUCAAAGGAAGCACCGGCUAACUCUGUGCCAGCAGCCGCGGUAAUACAGAGGGUGCAAGCGUUGUUCGGAAUUAUUGGGCGUAAAGGGAGUGUAGGCGGUCCUUUAAGUCUUCUGUGAAAGCUGCGGGCUCAGCCUGCAAAGUGCAGAGGAAACUGGAGGACUUGAGUGUCGGAGAGGAUAGGGGAAUACCCAGUGUAGAGGUGAAAUUCGUAGAGAUUGGGUGGAACACCAGUGGCGAAGGCGCCUGUCUGGCUGACAACUGACGCUGAGACUCGAAAGCAUGGGGAGCAAACAG
rnacentral:rRNA from 1 species